ensembl:lncRNA
CAGAUUUAUAGGUUAAAGUUAAAUAACAUGCAGAGCAAAGUGCAUUGGGGGUCUUUAUUUAUCAGGGAAUUCCGGUCGUUGUGGAACGGUCCACUUUAAAAUCAGUUUGUCCGUGUUUCUUGUGACUGGAGCACCAGCGCUGUAAGAAAUGGGAGAGAAUAUUACAAUAAUGGUCACGUGAAAGAACCGCUGGGUCUCUGGAUGGCGGAAGAGAGGCGCCCGGACAUUGACGCGCGCGCACUUUUUCUAUGAAAUUUCGUUCAGCGCUACUGAAACUCAUUCGCAUCUUGCAACGGUUAUUUGUGGUGGUUUUCGAGCCGGGUGACACACACCAGCCCUCUUCCUGUUGCUAACGCCACCCAGAGGUGGCGGGUCCCAGCGCGCGGUGGUCUGAUGGGGGGUGGUGAGAUGGAGAGCGAUGGAGGAAGUGGUGUGUGUGUGUGUGUGAAUGAGCCGGCCCACCCUUGAGUGUGCGCGAGCGCGUGAGUGUGUGUAUAUGUGUGUCCGGGUGUGCGCACACGCGCCAGGCGGGCGCGCAGACGACCUGCGCAACAUCCUGCCAGCAGGAACCGGGGAGGCCGACAUCAGCGCGGGUUCGACGAGACGAGCCGUGGUGGUUGAGGAGCCAGCAUGGCGUCGGGCCACACGGUCAUGCACCUGCAGAGGAAGCUGAAGGACCUGCAGCGGCAGCGCUGUAGGAGGGGGGGCAGUCAGGAGUCCCGAGUGCUGGGGAUGGUGGCACCCACCAUGAGGACCCCAGCCCUGGGUUCCCCGUUCAUCGCGUCCGAUGGGACCCUUCACUCCCACAGAGGUCUGCAGCCUCACUCCCCCUUGGCACGAGUAGCAGGGAGGGACCUGGACGACUACCGGCCCGUCCCGCCGGCCACGGCCUCCGACGAUCCCAAAGAUCCAACCGCCGGCACUCGGGAGCUCCCUUCCCCGGCCGCAGAGCUCUUACACCCCGGCAGCGCCCCUCUAAAGCCCCCACCGGAGAUCCCCCAGCCGAGGAGGGCCGUCCCCGCGGCGACCGUCCCGCUGUCUGCUCUGACCUGCGACCCCUGGAGGGCGGACGCCUCUCAGGCUUUUCCGGUAAUGCCUGCCAUAGGCUUCAUCCCUCCCGCCAGGCCUCCGGGGGACGGGCCCUUCUUCCAGAGGGAGAGUGCGAACGCAGCCGAGUUCCCCCCAAACAGCAGAGAGGUCCUGUGGCCGUUACCCAACUACCCCGCCAUAUUUCCCGACGCCCUCACCAUGCCUCCUUCAUACCAGUGUCCCACCUACGUGCCUCACCUUCCGCUCCACCCGUCCUGGUACAGGUUGGACAUCCCACCUUUUCUGUACAAGAAGGCCUCCGUCCACCCGUCUGAGCUGAGUGCGUUCCCUCCCCUUCACCUGUCCCACCCUCUGUCCAGGGACACCUUUGGGCUCAAACCGUCUGGGUUUGCGGUUGGCCCUCACAGCAGCUCCGCAGAAGGAAGAAUAGUCAAGGAAGGGGCGGCGAUCCAUAAGAGCAAGGAGAGCAAGCCUGUUUCCCAUUUGCCCCAGAAUGUGCUAAUGCACACGCCAGAACGUCUGCAGAGGAAGGAGGGGAAGGGGCAGAGAAUGGUGGUAACGGGCAGGACCCCCAGUCGAGAUGGGGGCAAGCCAGACAAGAACCGGAUGGUUGCCGUGGAAACGCUUCCUAUCGCCAACUCCUGUUUCAAUAGGCAUAGAAGGGGAUUUUCCAGUUCAGCUCCCUCAGGGCCAGAUGUUCAAGACUUGGGUCAAAAUCCGGAGUGUCAUUUGUGGCCGUGGGUGUCUUUGCAACACACGAAAAAAGCGGCCAGGUCUAAUGGGUUGCUGGUUCCAGGAAGACCUCAGCAUCUGACCAAAGAGGGUCAACUUUCCCAUGUUUUGCCUCCAGUCAAGACCAAGCUGAAGGAUGGUCUCAACAGGAGAGAUGGAGAGAAAGGUUUGGCACAAGUGGAUUCUGGGAGCUACCUGAGACAUCUACUAACAGAACCACGGGAUUCUCUGAAGGCCUUAGACCUCAGUCCAAAGAUCCAGCGAGGUAAAUAUAGGGAUGAGCACAAGGCCACACAGCCGUCCCCCAGCAGAGCUCGAGAUGAGAUCCACCAAAAGGGGGAGAGUGUCUCUUCACGUGGGCAACAAGAAGACUGUUCACCAGCGCCGGCAGAAAAUGAGCAGAAUGAUACACAAGGUCAAAGGUCAGCAAGAUCCAGCUCCAUGCCCAACCUGUUGUUAACUCACAGUCCGCACAGCGAACAUGAAAGACUGAAGGGUUUCGGUGGAAGAGGCAUCAGCACAAAAGAGGAGCUUCAGAAGAAAGAGGUUCACUUGAAAAGGGGAUCUCCUCGGGGUGGAGCAAAUCUGAACCUCAGAGUGCCUGGAAAUGGACACCUAGGCGCUGGGGGGCUGACCUGCACCAAAGGUGCCAAUGAAACAAAUCCAAGCAAAAGGGCACUUGAACCUCCUGCGACAAAAAGUGAAGAAUCAGCUCAGGAAUCUUCCCCAGCGAAGACCAGUAGACUGGGUCACUGUGAAGCCCCAGCAAACUCUUCUUCAUGUACAAUAAGUGGCAGCCAGGAAAGUUCAUGCUCAGCUCAUUGUGAGUGCUCAUCCUUGCAGGUGGGGGGUGAGAAGACCCAAGAGAAUGCGAAAAGAAGACUUUGUGGAAAUACCACGAGCCAGGGGGGGUCGGCAGAACGUUCCCCAGGCGGCUUCCCAAAUCAGUGCUGGGAGGAGCCCGUCCAAGAACAUGAUGGUUACCAGGACCACGCAGAUGGGACGCAUGGUGUUCACGGUCAGGUGGGAGGUUUCAGCAUUUUGGACCUGACCACAUCCAGCUUGUCCAGCGAUGAGGAGACAGAGGAGAAGCCUGGCUGGCAGGGGGUGGAAGGUGUACUGGAGAUGUACAAGUCCUACUUAGAAGAGACCACAUUUGAAGAGAAGAUACUUCAAGAGCAGCUCAGACUUUCGAAAGAGAAAAACAACGAGCUCAGUCGGGUGGCCAAAAAUCUGAAGGCGCAGAUCCAGGUGGGUUCGAGGAGAUCUUGUGCUUCCCUUGAAGGGAAUAAUGUGGUAACGCGGGGCCUCUGAAAGCAGAAGAUCUCUCUCGGUAAACCUGCACAGUAAAACAUCACUUCUAAAAACAUGUAUUUUAUAAAGACUCUUCUAAUAUGUUGGAGGGUGCAGUGGGUUAGACUGGGUCCUGCUCUCCGCUGGGUCUUGGGUUUGAGUCCCGCUUGGAGUGCCUUGCGACGGACUGGCAUCCCAUCCUGGGUGUGUCCCCUCCCCCUCCAGGCUUACACCCUGUGUUGCUGGGAUAGGGUCUGGCUCCCCACGACCCUGUAUGGGACAAGUGGUUACUGACUGUCUGUCAUCAUCUUAGAUGGAUUAUUGUUCCACAUUACUACUGUGUGUGAAUAAUAAUUUUUGAACAACCCUUCAACCGUGACGGCUACAUUUCCAGUUUCAGUCAACAAUGUUCCUUAGUAAAAAUAAGUUAUAAUAAAAGAAUAAGACUCAUAAAUGCUAUGCUAUCA